CUGGGGCAGAGGAUGAAGCCGUACUGUGGCUUCCAUUGCAUUAGGAAGACUCCUGUGGAGGCAGAAUUGAAAUUCAGGAUGUCAGUGGAAGAGAGAAGAAAACCAGAGAAGACCUAGAGAAGAACA